GUGCUUGCUUCCACAGCACAUAAACUAAAACUGGAAUGAUACAGAGAAGACUAGCAUAGCCCCUGCACAAGGAUGACACACAAAUUUGUUAAGCAUUCCAUAUCUUA
rfam:Erinaceus europaeus unplaced genomic scaffold scaffold00159, whole genome shotgun sequence